CAAAGGGAGCGAUUCCGGCAACGGAUGGGCGUGCGUGACAUUAGCUAGUUGGCGGGGCAACGGCCCACCAAGGCGACGAUGUCUAGGGGUUCUGAGAGGAAGGUCCCCCACACUGGUACUGAGACACGGACCAGACUCCUACGGGAGGCAGCAGUGAGGAAUAUUGGUCAAUGGGCGCGAGCCUGAACCAGCCAAGUCGCGUGAGGGAUGACGGCCCUACGGGUUGUAAACCUCUUUUGUCGGGGAGCAAAUUCCGUUACGUGUAACGGAGUCGAGAGUACCCGAAGAAAAAGCAUCGGCUAACUCCGUGCCAGCAGCCGCGGUAAUACGGAGGAUGCGAGCGUUAUCCGGAUUUAUUGGGUUUAAAGGGUGCGUAGGCGGACUGUCAAGUCAGCGGUAAAAUACGGGGGCUCAACCUCCGCCCGCCGUUGAAACUGACGGUCUUGAGUGGGCGAGAAGUAUGCGGAAUGCGUGGUGUAGCGGUGAAAUGCAUAGAUAUCACGCAGAACUCCGAUUGCGAAGGCAGCAUACCGGCGCCCAACUGACGCUGAAGCACGAAAGCGUGGGUAUCGAACAGGAUUAGAUACCCUGGUAGUCCACGCAGUAAACGAUGAAUACUAGCUGUCCGGGGCGAAUGAGCCCUGG
rnacentral:rRNA from 1 species